AUUGAACGCUGGCGGCAGGCCUAACACUUGCCAGUCGAGCGGAUGAAGGGAGCUUGCUCCUGGAUUCAGCGGCGGACGGGUGAGUAAUGCCUAGGAAUCUGCCUGGUAGUGGGGGAUAACGUCCGGAAACGGGCGCUAAUACCGCAUACGUCCUGAGGGAGAAAGUGGGGGAUCUUCGGACCUCACGCUAUCAGAUGAGCCUAGGUCGGAUUAGCUAGUUGGUGGGGUAAAGGCCUACCAAGGCGACGAUCCGUAACUGGUCUGAGAGGAUGAUCAGUCACACUGGAACUGAGACACGGUCCAGACUCCUACGGGAGGCAGCAGUGGGGAAUAUUGGACAAUGGGCGAAAGCCUGAUCCAGCCAUGCCGCGUGUGUGAAGAAGGUCUUCGGAUUGUAAAGCACUUUAAGUUGGGAGGAAGGGCAGUAAGUUAAUACCUUGCUGUUUUGACGUUACCAACAGAAUAAGCACCGGCUAACUUCGUG
rnacentral:rRNA from 1 species